AUAUCAAUAAGCGGAGGAAAAGAAACCAACAGGGAUUGCCUCAGUAACGGCGAGUGAAGCGGCAACAGCUCAAAUUUGAAAUCUGGCCCCCUCGGGGUCCGAGUUGUAAUUUGUAGAGGGUGCUUCGGUGGAAGCUCCGGCCCAAGUCCCUUGGAACAGGACGUCAGAGAGGGUGAGAACCCCGUGUCCGGCCGGCGGCGCUCCCCGCGUGAAGCCCCUUCGACGAGUCGAGUUGUUUGGGAAUGCAGCUCUAAAUUGGUGGUAAAUUCCAUCUAAAGCUAAAUACCGGCCAGAGACCGAUAGCGCACAAGUA
rnacentral:rRNA from 1 species